rfam:Cajanus cajan Scaffold128562_8, whole genome shotgun sequence.
GGCAGCAUGGUUGAGUGGUAAGAUGGGGGAUUACAAAUCCUUUUUCUUCAAUUCAAAUUCAGGUGUAGCCU